AUAAAAUAAAUAAAUGAAAAAGCAUUAACGGUUGGGACUUGGGAUUAACAGGGAAAGUAGUAGAGGAGAGAACGUCGAGAUUAGAUAACGAAUUGUGGCGCUAAACUCUGUUUGGGUGUUUGGUUCUCGUUACCUUGCGCUGAAUCGGUUGAGUGAACGACGGCACGGCACGUCAUGGCCUCCUCUGCGCCUCCCUCUUCCUCCUUCUUCGUCUCUUCCUCUUCCACCACCAAACGCCCUCCCUUUUUCUUUGCACCAACCUCCUUUAAAUUCUAUGCCCCCACUGCUUCUGAUUCUAAUUCUUCUUCCUCGUCUUCGUCACUCUCUUCUACUCGUCGGUGGUUCAAUCCCCUGCGACGUAGAAAAUUUGAUCAGCCUCCCCAAAUUGAGCGCCACUGGGUUGAGGCUCCUCAUCAACCUCUCGCUUCCUCAGAAAGGUUCAGUGUGGCUUCUUACAACAUACUUGCGGAUAGAAACGCUUCUCAGCACAGAGAUCUGUAUGUAAAUGUUCCUUCAUAUUACGUCAAUUGGGAUCGUCGUAAGAGAGUUAUUUGCAAGGAACUCUUAGGAUGGGAUACUGACAUUAUCUGUUUACAAGAGGUGGACAAGUAUAUUGAACUCUCAAACAUUCUAGUUAAAGCAGGAUAUACAGGAUCGUACAAGAGACGCACUGGAGACACAGCUGAUGGUUGUGCAAUGUUUUGGAAAGCUGAUAAGUUCCGAUUAUUAGAAUCAGAGAGCAUUCAAUUUAAGGACAUGGGCCUUCGUGAUAAUGUUGCUCAACUUUUAGUUUUUGAGAUGUGUGAAUUUGAUUCAAGAAGGCUGCUAGUUGGUAACAUCCACGUACUUUAUAACCCAAACAGGGGAGAAGUUAAAUUAGGCCAAAUUCGGUUUCUCUUAGCAAGAGCAAAGGCUCUCUCAGAGAAAUGGGGUAAUUCCCCUAUUGUGCUAGCUGGUGAUUUUAAUAGUACUCCUCAGAGUGGAAUAUACAAGUUUUUAUCAUCAUCUGAGCUUAAUAUUAUGUUAUAUGACAGAAAGGAAUUAUCUGGACAAAAACGUUGCCGUCCUGCUCAAGUUUUAGGCAAGAAAAAAGAAACUGUUGGUCCGUUUAUCUUACUGGAUGGAUUGUUAAACUGCUGGACAGAUGAAGAGGUAAAAGUUGCAACGGGUGAUUCUGGGUGUCAUUCAGCUGUGCAUCCAUUGAAGCUGAAUAGUUCCUAUGCUACAAUUGAUGGUUCAACUAGUACACGGGGAUUCAACGGUGAACCCUUUGCUACUUCCUAUCACUCAAAGUUUCUUGGUACCGUAGAUUAUUUAUGUUACCCUUGAUGUAGGUACUCAGACGGUAUUUUACCUACAAAAGUUCUUGAUACCGUUUCAAUUGGUGAUCUUGUGAGGACAGGUGGUCUCCCAUGCAAGAAAGUGGGAAGCGACCAUUUGGCCUUGGUUUCUGAGUUUUCCUUCUUAGAUGCCAACAAUGCAUCUACAGAAAUAGUUGCAGCAUCAGCAUAACCUAGACUAGAUAAUGAAGAACAGGACAAGUUGCAGUCAUAAGAUCGUAGAGAACAGCUCGGCAUUGAAUGGAAUUUUGCUCACCUUAUGCAUACUGGUUUCUCUAAUUUUCUUGGUUUGAAAUUAGUUGAAUUUGGUUGUAACUAGGUAAAAGUCAAAGAUCAAGUCAAUGGUAAGAAUUAUUCACUGUAACACAUAAUAUGCAUUCACAAUUGAGGAGCUUUCUUUG